GGACCAGUGGUUUAGUAGGUGUGGCUGUGUUGCAGGGCUUUAUAGAAGGGCUGUCUGGGAGGGACCAGUGGUUUAGUAGGUGUGGCUGUGUUGCAGGGCUUUAUAGAAGGGCUGUCUGGGAGGGACCAGUGGUUUAGUAGGUGUGGCUGUGUUGCAGGGCUUUAUAGAAGGGCUGCCUGGGAGGGACCAGUGGUUUAGUAGGUGUGGCUGUGUUGCAGGGCUUUAUAGAAGGGCUGCCUGGGAGGGACCAGUGGUUUAGUAGGUGUGGCUGUGUUGCAGGGCUUUAUAGAAGGGCUGCCUGGGAGGGACCAGUGGUUUAGUAGGUGUGGCUGUGUUGCAGGGCUUUAUAGAAGGGCUGCCUGGGAGGGACCAGUGGUUUAGUAGGUGUGGCUGUGUUGCAGGGUCUUCUAGAGUUGCUGGCUGAGGGCUCCUAUCACCAAGACUACACAUCACUCUAAAACAGAACGUGCCGCCUAGGAUAAUAAAGUUGAAACUUGAACACACACACACACAGUCCUUCCACAUGUCUGUGAGUGUGCCAGCUGUGUGCUAUGGCUGGCUAGCUGACUGUGGAGAGAGUCACUCCUCCCUCUCAGUGCCACAUCAGCACAGAACACAC